rnacentral:rRNA from 1 species
UGGUCAAGUUAUUAAGGGUGCAGGGCGGAUGCCUUGGCACUAGGAGCCGAUGAAGGACGUGAUAAGCUGCGAUAAGCUUCGGGGAGUUGCACGUAAACUUUGAUCCGAAGAUUUCCGAAUGAGGAAACUCACUUAGAGUAAUGUCUAAGUAUCAUUAAGUGAAUACAUAGCUUAAUGAGGGGAACUCAGGGAACUGAAACAUCUAAGUACCUGAAGGAAGAGAAAGAAAUUCGAUUCCGUAAGUAGCGGCGAGCGAACGCGGAUUAGCCCAAACCAAUAAAGUUUUCUUUAUUGGGGUUGCGGACAUAUCAUAACGAAGAGGUAUCGUAAUUGAAGAGGUUUGGAAAGACCCACCACAGAAGGUAAUAGUCCUGUAUGUUAAACGAGAAGACUUCAGAUAUGAUCCAGAGUACCACGGGACACGUGAAACCCUGUGGGAAGCAGGAGGGACCACCCUCCAAGGCUAAAUACUACCUAGUGACCGAUAGCGUAUAGUACCGUGAGGGAAAGGUGAAAAGAACCCCGGGAGGGGAGUGAAAUAGAACCUGAAACCCUGCACUUACAAGCUGUGGAAGCACAUUUCUUGUGUGACCGCGUACUUUUUGUAGAACGGGCCAACGAGUUACGUUAAGUAGCAAGGUUAAGCACUUAAGGUGUGGAGCCGUAGCGAAAGCGAGUUUUAACUGAGCGUUCAGUUACUUGACGUAGACCCGAAACCGGGCGACCUACCCAUGAGCAGGAUGAAGCGAAAGUAAAAUUUCGUGGAGGUCCGAACCCACGAGCGUUGAAAAGCUCGGGGAUGACUUGUGGGUAGCGGUGAAAUUCCAAUCGAGCCCGGAGAUAGCUGGUUCUCCCCGAAAUAGCUUUAGGGCUAGCCUCAAGGUGAGAGAUACGGAGGUAGAGCACUGAAUGUCCUAGGGGGUAUUGCACCUACCGAAGACUAUCAAACUCCGAAUGCCGUCAUCUUAUACUUGGGAGUCAGACUGUGGGUGAUAAGAUUCAUAGUCGAAAGGGCAACAGCCCAGAUCGUCAGCUAAGGUCCCUAAAUGUAAGUUAAGUGGUAAAGGAUGUGGGAUUGCACAGACAACCAGGAUGUUGGCUUAGAAGCAGCCACUCAUUCAAAGAGUGCGUAAUAGCUCACUGGUCGAGUGAUCCUGCGCCGAAGAUUUCCGGGGCUAAAACUUACUACCGAAGCUACGGCAUCAGUAAUGAUGGGUAGGGGAGCUUCCCAUACGGGUUGAAGCAUGACCGUAAGGACAUGUGGACAGUAUGGGAGUGAGAAUGUUGGCAUGAGUAGCGAGAUGUGGGUGAGAAUCCCACAGGCCGUAAACCCAAGGUUUCCAGGGGAAGGUUCGUCCGCCCUGGGUUAGUCGGGACCUAAGCUGAGGCCGAAAGGCGUAGGUGAUGGACAACAGGUUGAUAUUCCUGUACUACCGAUAACCGUUUGAGAGAAGGGAUGACACAGUAGGAUAAGCUAAGCACACUGUUGGUUAUGUGUGCCCAAGCAUUGAGGCAGUCAAAGUAGGCAAAUCCGCUUUGAUAAUGCUGGGAUGUGAUGGGGAGCGAAAUUUAGUAGCGAAGUAGCUGAUUUCACACUGUCAAGAAAAGUCUCUAUCGAGGUUAAAGGUACCCGUACCGCAAACCGACACAGGUGGGUGAGGAGAGUAUCCUAAGGCCAGCGAGAGAACUGUUGUUAAGGAACUCGGCAAAAUGACCCCGUAACUUAGGGAUAAGGGGUGCCACCAUCAGGUGGCCGCAGAGAAUAGGCCCAAGCGACUGUUUACCAAAAACAUAGGUUUCUGCUAAGUCGCAAGACGAUGUAUAGGAGCUGACGCCUGCCCGGUGCUGGAAGGUUAAGGGGAUCUGUUAGAGCAAUCGAAGCAGUGAACUUAAGCCCCAGUAAACGGCGGCCGUAACUAUAACGGUCCUAAGGUAGCGAAAUUCCUUGUCGGGUAAGUUCCGACCCGCACGAAAGGCGUAACGAUUUGGGCACUGUCUCAACAACAGACUCGGUGAAAUUGUAAUUCCGGUGAAGAUGCCGGAUACCUGCGACAGGACGGAAAGACCCCAUGGAGCUU